rnacentral:rRNA from 1 species
GAACGAACGCUGGCGGCAGGCUUAACACAUGCAAGUCGAACGCCCCGCAAGGGGAGUGGCAGACGGGUGAGUAACACGUGGGAACGUACCCUUUACUACGGAAUAACGCAGGGAAACUUGUGCUAAUACCGUAUGUGCCCUUCGGGGGAAAGAUUUAUCGGUAAAGGAUCGGCCCGCGUUGGAUUAGCUAGUUGGUGGGGUAAAGGCCUACCAAGGCGACGAUCCAUAGCUGGUCUGAGAGGAUGAUCAGCCACAUUGGGACUGAGACACGGCCCAAACUCCUACGGGAGGCAGCAGUGGGGAAUAUUGGACAAUGGGCGCAAGCCUGAUCCAGCCAUGCCGCGUGAGUGAUGAAGGCCUUAGGGUUGUAAAGCUCUUUCACCGGAGAAGAUAAUGA